rnacentral:lncRNA from 1 species
CCAAACUUAUACACAAUCACAAGAAUAUAUUAAAGGCGCCUAAAGGCUUUUCUACGAGUAUUAAUUAUUAAUAGCUCUUUUACAAUAUUUGUGAUGGCCAUGGGAGGGUUAAUUAAGAUGGCACACCUCAAUAAUAAAUAAAUAAAACUUGUACUAGACUAGAGCGAAUUAUGAAUUCUUAGGUUACAACUACAAAUUUAAAGCAAGCAUGGGAUAAUUGCUAGGCACUAGAUUAUUUUAACCAAGGUUUGUCAAACAGACAAGUCCCUUGAACUGUGAAAAUUAGAUGGCCAUGAAUAUGAAAAACGAAAGGGGUGCUAGGCCUUGGAAGCGAAUCCAGAAAUGAAAGAAAAGAGCCUGAGGCACACGAGCCUGGCUUGGUCCAGACAUUCACAUUUGGGCCAUUUAACAGGCAUGACCGCUUUUAAAGGAUGUCAUUAAGGAACUUUACUAUUUGGAAAACCUUAUUCUGCAGGCCUUCAAUUAUCUGAUAUGCCAUGAGUAAUUCAAACAUUAAUCUAAACUAGCCUAAACCAAUUUCAACAAAACAACUAAAAGAUGCUCCUCAUCUAACUUAAAUCCAUAAUACAGAAAAUUCAAGCACCAUAUACUCAACAACGGGAUCCUUUAUUUUUAGCAGAACCACAAACCAACAUAAUAGGCUAAAUUUCUAAUCCAAACUUGAAAAUGAAAUAUAGCAUCAAUAAUAUAAAUAUGCAAACGAACACAUAAUGUAAAGCUAACUCAAUAAAGAAUCUAGACAAAACUUUAUAAUGAACUUUCAGCAAAGCUAAUAUUCAUUCUUAUGUUUCCACACUUGAUUAUACUUAGUCAUAACUAUAUGAAACAUUCUCAAAAUCCAGUAAGUACUAGUUAAUCCAUGUAAACUAUUAUGGCUGCCUGCCAGUUUUCAACUUAUUGAGAACCAUACAUGGAUUCACUAAUGCUAAAGGACCAUCCACAUGAAUAUUAGAUUCAAGCUAAUAUCCUACUUCAAAUUAUUUUCUAAAGAAAACAGAAGAACUAACAAAGUAAACCGCAUCUUAUUAUUACAAAAAAACAAAUACAGUAUGAUGUACAUCUUCAUUUUCCAUUUAAAGGUUCAUGAGAGUACCUGAAUAUAACUAAUAGAAUAAAAUGAGUCUUGAAAUCAACAGAGAUGAAAGCAAGAAUAGAAAUCCAACAGCAACAACACAUUUUCCACGAUUAUCUUUAAACCCAGAUAAAUUAGAAAUUCCUUGAAACCUUUAAAUUCUUACAAACAGUGAACCAACGAGAAAUUCCAAACAAUUUUUGACCAAAACCGCUACAGAAACUCUUAGUGUUUUUCAGGGUAUGAAGGUCUGAUUUUUUGAGUGAAAGAAGGGUCUAUACAUAGCCUUAAAGAAUUCCAUGAGAUCAAAAAGGAUGAGGGAAUUAUUUGUUUCAGCCAUAAAGCAUCUUUUAACAAACUUGGACAGCUAGCUUUAACUCCUUGGUUUCAGUAUUUUGUGCUGACCGGAUGAGGCUAGCUGCCCGCUAUUCUAGAACUUUCCAGCAGGGUCUUUAUCCUAUUAUAUUUAUCCACCCUCCAAAUAGAUCCCUCAAUUUAUUUAUUUACAAUUAGUCCUCACAAAUUUUAAUUAAGGUUGAAACAGUUGAAAUAAAACCAUUGAACAGAAUAAAAAUUGACUUAAGAUAAUUACGGAAUGGCACAUACACUAAUUAAACUGAACUAUUUAUGAGUUUACUACUCAGGCAUGAAUCAAACCAAGUCAAUGAAUCCUAGAAAACUAAUCUAAUGUUAUGAUUGAUACACAUUGGCUGACUAAUCAAAGAGAAGUUUUAAAUGACAAAAAUUUGAACCAAUUGAACAAACCAAGACAUGAAAAACCAAAAAUUUCCCAAAAAAAAAACUACCUGAAUUACUGCCUAAUUAGAGGAACUGUUUCUACUCUCAUAAACACCUAAAUUAACUAAUAAUUAAUGGCUAAAUACUGAACUAAAGAUUGACCACGAAGAAAUGUCAAAAUUUAAGAAAAUGAAAGAGAAAUGAACAAAUAAUAUGGAAUAGCAACACAUAGCGAACAACACUAGGAAGAAGGAAAUUAAACCUAAAAUGAGAACAAGAAAUGUACCUAUUUGAGAAAACAAAAAGUAACCAGGCGUAGAUUUGGCUCGACUUUGUAAUAAUUUGGAAUUACCCCAUAUGAUUGUUUUGUCAAGAACAAUCCAUUUGGGUUGAGUUUCGAACUACACAAACAUGAAGGAUCACAUGAAACUGGAACAUGCAAGAAACUAAUUUUCUUUUCAUCCUCAGAUUUGAAAUUGGAGGAGAUCGGUGGUAUUUGAGGGAAACCAUUGAAGAAUUUGGAAAGGAGGGCAGAUGAGGGUUGCAUGGUUAAAUUUUGGGGUGGUAUACAAAUCGGCCGCCGCCUUGAAGCGAUUUCUGGCGGGUGAUUGACGCUAGAGACGGUAAGGAUAUUGGAAGGCUAGGGUUUCUCUUAGGUUUGGGUUAGAGACGGAUUGAGGGGGUUUCGAAUGCGGUAUGGGGGUUAGUUCAGACAGUUAAAUACAAAGUGAGGCCUUAGUUCCGGGCCGUUGAAUUAUUG